UACGUAGGGGGCAAGCGUUGUCCGGAUUUAUUGGGCGUAAAGGGUGCGUAGGCGGCGCGGUAAGUCGGGUGUGAAAUCUCGGAGCUUAACUCCGAAACUGCAUUUGAUACUGCCGUGCUUGAGGACUGGAGAGGAGACUGGAAUUUACGGUGUAGCGGUGAAAUGCGUAGAUAUCGUAAGGAAGACCAGUGGCGAAGGCGGGUCUCUGGACAGUUCCUGACGCUGAGGCACGAAGGCCAGGGGAGCAAACGGG
rnacentral:rRNA from 1 species